GGAAAGGAGGGCACGUGCGGCUGCGGGCGGAUGGACGGAGAGGACAGCGAGAGGGUGCCGGGGUCCCAGGCUGGGGCCUGUAACCUCUCUACCCUGGCCAGCUCCCACAUCCAGGGGACAAGUCCCUUCAGCGCACAGACGCCUCAGCAUCACACCAGCUGGCGCCCGAGCGGACAGCCCCCACAAGAGGGAGGGGGGGAGGAGAGGUACCUU
rnacentral:lncRNA from 1 species